UUCAAAGAAAACAAGAACUGAUGGGUA
rnacentral:piRNA from 1 species